UAACAUUUUUUUUUUCUUAGCUGGCUUUUUUAGCGUCCAAGGAAGCUGUCAAGGAAGGCAAAAAAUCAUACUUGAAUAAGCCGUCACAUGGUGGACACAAACGGUCCAAGAAGCUGUGCAUCUUCACUCCCGACAGAGAAUACUGUGUCGCGCAGAUGAAGGGACUCUGAAUAUUACAAUCGUUUACAAUUUGGGCUAUUUCUUGGCGUUAUGAAAUCAAAUUAAUAAAUAUUUUUUAGAAUACAAUCGAUUUUUUAAUUA